UGGUAGGGUGGGUGCUGAGGGCUACUAGGUCUUAAAUGAGCUUAAUCUGGUUUGGGAAGGUGACAACCGCUAAAAUUCCAGGCCUCCCAAGGCUCCAUUCCCACCACCCAGCAGUGGGCAGUGGGCUGGGCUGGCCUCCGGGCCUCACACCCCGCAGGGCCAGGGCCUCUCCCUGGAGUUGGUUGGGCUAAGGAGGCGGUUGGCUGGGUAGGUGGGCGGCUGGUGGCUGUCCGCAGGCCGGGGUCACUGAGGGCAUUUUACAUUGCUCUAAUCCUGUCCUCUUGGCAAGAAACCACCAAGAAACUUACUAAGCCCCCAGGGUUCAUUCCAAAUCCUGUCUGGGAGGGCAAGGACUGUGGAAACUUUCAGCUGCCUCAGACUCCAUCUUUAGCCAUCGAUUAGGUGGUUCGGCCGCUGACGGAACACCUGGGGUUCUUCAUGGGCCGCUGGGUCACUGAGGGCCCCAAAGAUUUGGGGCUCCUCCCAGGUGUCGGUUGGGCCAAGGAGGAGGCUGGGCUUUCAGAAUAGAACCUGCGGUGCUAACGAUGGCCCCGCAGGGCUGAGGGCCUGGGCGGCAUCCUGUGGCCCAGAGAUGGCGCUUUAGUAAUAUGAGGCCUUGAGUUUGCGCCUCUGGGCCCCCAUUCCCUCGUCACCUGCAGCCUGGUCUCUGCUUCCCCACUCCUGGUGAAUUGCGGUUGGAGCAGCCUCUCCUUUCUCGAUAGUGACCCGACCGAGCUCCCUGGGAAAGGCUUGACCCGGCCCUGUCCUGCCUCCCGUCUGGUGCCAGCCACACGCCAUUGUGCCCUCUCCCCACACACCCGCUGGGAGCUCGUGGGCCCUGGAGAACCGGACCCCAGAGCAGAGAGAGGCCACUGUCUUGGACUCUAAACCACUUAGUUUCUGCUUUACGUUUUUUUUUUUUUUAACAUUUUUUUUUUGCUUCAUUGUUGAAGUUCUUUAAUUCCACCACUACCCCAUGUUUAAAAUACCGUCUUUCUUUUUCCCUCUAACUUUUUUAUUUGGCAUACCCAAGGGAAAUAAUUUACUUCCCAGAGUAUAGGGGAUAGGGGGCAGUUGCAGAGUGCAUUUUAUUCAUUAAUAUCUGGGAAAGUUCUUUUACAGCGGCUCUGAAGUGAGACAAAUUGGAGAAAUUCUCCCUGCUCAGGAAAAGGUAGAGGCAAAGAUUUACUUAAAGAUGAGUAAUAAUAGUGUUACUGAUCAUAAGCUGCAUGUGGAAAAAAUAAUUAAAAAUAUUAAUACAAUUUCUCUGGAGUUGAAGAAGAUAAAAGAUGUGCAUGACAUGCUGAUGCUUAAAGCAGCCACAGCCAAGGGGACUGGGACUGCCAAGACUGGUUUGGACCAGUCAGAACUUACUACUGGAGCUGGGGAAAGGAGCACCUCAAAUGAAGCCAAGCUGUGACACCAAGAAGAAGAGGGCAUGGCCGUUAGUUUGGCACCAGAU